rnacentral:sRNA from 2 species
AUAUCUCUCUGUACGGGAAGGAUGAGAAGCUUCGACCAAGGUUCGAUUCGAGCGAAAGCGAGAAAGCGUUGCCGCAGGCAACGACCCGAAGGGCGAAGCGCGCAGCGCUGAGUCAUCCUUCCCCCACCACCA